UAGCCUGGAGGCUACGUCUUCCCUUGAUUGAUCACUUCCUCUGCUGUACAGAAGCUCUCACUUUUUUCUUCAGUCGUUGGCCAUAUACCCUGAGCAACCAGAGCCCCACUGAGGAAAGUCCUUAUCUAUAGCUCUAUCGUGUACAGAGUCCCUACUUUUUUUCCUAGUUUCAGAUUGUCUGUGGCAUUCUUCAGUCAAUAUGAAGCUGGGUUUUUUGUGCAGGGUUAGAAAUAGUGAAGUCACUUCCGUCUAAUGCAUGUAGACAUCAGUUUUCCCAACGCCAUUCAUUGAAGAUGCCGUUUUCUUUUUUAAAAAUUAAGUGGCUGUAAUGGCGUGACUUAUGUCUGGGUCUUCUCUUUCGCUGAUUUAAAUGCAUUUUUAUGCCAGUAUCACAAUUUUUUUUGGUUUUGCUUUUGUUUAGUGUGGGUUUUCAAGACAGGGUUUCUCUAUGUCCUAGAACUCAGACUGGCCUCGAACUCAGAGAGCUUCCUUUUUCUGCUAGGAUUAAAGAUAGGUGUCACCAUCACCUAGCACCAUGCCAUUUUGUAUUAAUGUGACUGCAGUAUAUCUUGAAACCAGAUGUGGUGGUUUGAAUGAAAAUAGCCCCUUUGACUCACAAGUUUGAAUGUUUGAUUCCCAGUUGGUAAGGCUGUUUGGGAAGAAUUAGGAGAUAAAUCCUUGUUGGAGGAGGUGUAUGAGGCCCAGUCCCCUCUCUGCCUCCUGCUAAUGAAUCAGAUGGAAGGUUCUCAGCUUACAUAUCAUGUAAGCACAUGCUAGUGGCCAUGUCUGACCACCUGUUGCUGUUUCCUACCACAGUGGUCGUAGACUAACACCCUGUAACUGUUAGCAAGCCCCCAGUUAAUGCUUUCUUUCAUAAGUUGCCUUGAUCAUGGUAUCUCUUCACUGUAGUAGAACAAUAACUAAGACACUGGGUAUGGUAAUGCCUUCUGUAUUAUGUUUGCCUAGGACUGCUUUGGAUAUCUGUGAUCUUUGUACUUCUAUAUCAAUGUUAAGAUUUUUGUUUUUCAGUUUCUGUGAGUAUGGCAUGAGAAUUUUGAUUGGAAUAGCAUUGGUCCUGUCUAUUGCUUUUAUUAGGAUAGUUUCUUUCACAACUUUAAGUCUUAUCCAUUAGCAUGGGAUGUCUUUCAGUCUUUGUUUUCUUUGAACCUAUGGGUUUUGGGAUUGUUUGUUUACUGUUGUCAAUUCCCUGAUUUCUCUAAGUGUGCCAUUGGUAUGCAGUGGAUUUUUAUGUUAAUCUUGUAUACUGCUGCUUUGCUGAAAGUCUAGAUCAGCUCUAGUUUCCUGAUGAUAUGUUAGGGUUUCUUGUGUGUAGUAUUGUAUCACCAACUGACAGCGAUACUUGACUUGUUUCCCAGUCCUAUCUUUUUUAUUUCCUUCUCUUUGUCAUGUUGCUGUACCUUGAACACUAUUUUAAAUAGAAGUAGAGAAUGGCCAGCCUCAUAUUGUCCCUGAUUUUAAUAGAAUUGCCUCACGUUUUUCUCCAUUGAGCAUUUUAUUGACUAUGAGUCAUAUGUAGCUUUCAUUGGAUUGAAGUAUACUCUCUACGGGGUUUCUCAAAGGAUACAUUUUCACUGUGAACUGUAUUUACUCAUAACUGCCCAAAUUUCUUCAGUUGAUGAGUGAGCAGACAAGUAUAUCCAUAUAUGCAAUAGGAUGCUACUCAACAAUAAACAAUUGAUGAACAUUAUAUGAAU
rnacentral:lncRNA from 1 species